rnacentral:rRNA from 1 species
ACGGGAGGCAGCAGUGGGGAAUAUUGCACAAUGGGAGAAAUCCUGAUGCAGCGACGCCGCGUGAGUGAAGAAGUAUUUCGGUAUGUAAAGCUCUAUCAGCAGGGAAGAAAAUGACGGUACCUGACUAAGAAGCCCCGGCUAACUACGUGCCAGCAGCCGCGGUAAUACGUAGGGGGCAAGCGUUAUCCGGAUUUACUGGGUGUAAAGGGAGCGUAGACGGCGAUGCAAGUCUGAUGUGAAAUGCGGGAGCUCAACCCCUGAACUGCAUUGGAAACUGUAUUGCUGGAGUGCCGGAGGGGUAAGCGGAAUUCCUAGUGUAGCGGUGAAAUGCGUAGAUAUUAGGAGGAACACCAGUGGCGAAGGCGGCUUACUGGACGGUAACUGACGUUGAGGCUCGAAAGCGUGGGGAGCAAACAGGAUUAGAUACCCUGGUA